CAGCAGCCGCGGUAAUACGGAGGGGGCUAGCGUUGUUCGGAAUUACUGGGCGUAAAGCGCACGUAGGCGGCUUUGUAAGUUAGAGGUGAAAGCCCGGAGCUCAACUCCGGAAUUGCCUUUAAGACUGCCGAGCUAGUAGGUGAGAGAGGUAAGUGGAAUUCCGAGUGUAGAGGGGAAAUUCGUAGAUAUUCGGAAGAACACCAGUGGCGAAGGCGGCUUACUGGCUCAUUCUAGACGCUGAGGUGCGAAAGCGUGGGGAGCAAACAGGAUUAGAUACCCGCGUAGUCCCUGUCUCUUAUAA
rnacentral:rRNA from 1 species